AGCGAACGUUAGCGGCGGGCCUAACACAUGCAGGUCGCACGAGAAAAGGGCUUCGGCCCCGAGUAAAGUGGCGGACGGGUGAGGAACACGUGGAUAGUCGGCCCUUCGGUGGGGGAUAACUGUCCGAAAGGAUAGCUAAUACCGCAUACGUCGGCGUGGCUUGCGAGCCCUGUCGGGAAAGCCGGCCACCCCAUGGAAGCUGGCCCCGAAGGCGGAGUCCGCGUCCCAUCAGCUAGUUGGUCGGGUAAUGGCCUACCAAGGCAGAGACGGGUGGCUAGUCUGAGAGGACGAUCAGCCACACUGGGACUGAGACACGGCCCAGACUCCUACGGGAGGCAGCAGUGGGGAAUAUUGGGCAAUGGGCGCAAGCCUGAUCCAGCCACGCCGCGUGAGUGAUGAAGGCCUUCGGGUCGUAAAGCUCUGUGGGGAGGGACGAAACCCUGCGACCUAACACGUCGCAGGCUGACGGUACCUCCUUAGCAAGCACCGGCUAACUCUGUGCCAGCCGCCGCAGUAAGAC
rnacentral:rRNA from 1 species